AUGUUGCAGGAGGAUGGGGGUAUUGAUGAAGAUGUGAACCAUCGAAUCAAAGCCGGAUGGAUGAAGUGGCGCCAAGCUUCUGGCAUUCUCUGUGACAAGAGAGUGCCACAAAAGCUAAAAGGCAAGUUUUACAGGACGGAGGUUCGACCCGCAAUGUUGUAUGGUGCGGAGUGUUGGCCGACUAAAAGGCGACAUGUUCAACAGUUAGGUGUGGCGGAGAUGCGUAUGUUGAGAUGGAUGUGUGCCCACACGAGGAAGGAUCGAGUCCGGAAUGAUGAUAUACGAGAUAGAGUUGGGGUAGCACCAAUUGAGGAGAAGCUUGUCCAACAUCGUCUGAGAUGGUUUGGGCAUAUUCAGCGCAGGCCUCCAGAAGCUCCAGUGCAUAGCGGACGGCUAAAACGUGCGGAGAAUGUCAAGAGAGGGCGAGGUAGACCCAAUUUGACAUGGGAGGAGUCCGUUAAGAGAGACCUGAAGGAUUGGAGUAUUACCAAAGAGCUAGCUAUGGACAGGGGUGCGUGGAAGCUUGCUAUCCAUGUGCCAGAGCCAUGA
rnacentral:rRNA from 1 species